rnacentral:lncRNA from 10 species
GUUCUGCAUGUCACAGAGGAAGUAGGCAUAUUUGAGGAAGACUUUCUCAAGGAUUUUUUUCAGAAGUUACACGGAAUAUGUCUGCCUCUCCUGUCUCACCUCCUUCACCUCUUCCACCUCUGCCACCCUGAGACAGCAAGAAAAACUCCACCCUUUUUUCCUCUUCCUGAGCCUAUCAACAUGAGGACAAUGGGAAUGAAGAUUUUAUGAUGAUCCACACCCACUAAGUGAAUAGGUCUCACCACUGCAGCCAUCAUCAAAAGUGGUUAUUACCAAGACUAGAUUGCAGCUCCGGACAGAGCAGCUGGCAGGGACUCAUAUUGUGAAUUGCAGCUCCAGCUCGACUGCAAGAACAAACCAGCAAUCCCGAGAGGACCCACAGACCCUCUAAAGGAAGUGGACUGCUCCUGCAGGACCUGGGAGACACCCCAAAUAUUAUCUAUAAACUCAAUUUUAGGAAGUCAAGUAUCUUCCCGAAAGUCACACAAGUAAAGAUGGACUUGGGUCUCUAAUCCAUUUGUUUGACUUCAAAACAUGUUAUCUCCAUUCCACUACCUCUUCUGUUCAGUGGAAUGAAAGAGGUUAAAACAGUUCACAGGGUCCAUGGAGUGAAUGAAAAAUGAAAAUGGGAAGAUAAAAUACAGAUUAUAGUUUUCAAGGAUUGGAGCUGGAAGGAGUUGCCUGUUUGAGAGCUGUGUUAAGGUCUGAGAAACAUGUGCAUGUUGUGCACUGCAAGAAAGGAAUCAAGAGGAAGGAGAGGAUGGAGAUAUAGAAGAUGAAAAUCAGCCAGAGUAACAAGGCUCCAGGAAAGCCACAUGGCUAUGUGCAUCCCUUAGAGAAACAAAUUGGAAAAAGGCACCUAAAUCAAUGCUGAAGACACACAGAAUAUUGAAGGAUCAACUCUACUUCUUCGAAAUAUACUUUAAUACUUUCACUGCCAAACCAGAGUUCAAGAAAUAACUGCGGUGGAAUGAUAAUGAGAAGUUUAACAGUUUUAUGAUGGUUGAAGCUGACUUUAUGAAAGUUGAUAAAUUUCAUCUUGUAGGUUUCAAUUUCUCAUUCCCUACCGAGAGAUGGGGAGAAUACAUUGACACUGCAUUUCAAAUUGGCUAGAUCAGAAGGAACAGCAGCUAAAAUCCAUUACAACCCAAUUACAUCCAUCAGCUGAAGCUGUGUGCAUUCACUUGUGAACAUCAGCAUUUAAUCCAUAAAGAGGAACUAAUGAGAAAUUUGAAAAUGGAAUCCACGCAUCAGUAAGUUUAGAGAGAUUUUUCUGGGAUUAAUGAUCUGCCAGAGCAUCUUCAGCAUUCUGGAAAGCUAUUCUCUCUGGGUUUGUUUACUGACCAAGAGAAAAAAAAAGGGGGUUUCCUUCUGUCUGCUCAUCAAAUAUUUGAAAGACUACUCAUUUCAGUCCUUGAAAAUGGGAUACCGUGAGCUUUGGAAGUAAGUUCCUUGCAGGUUGCCACACUGAUUUUUG